UACGUAGGGUGCGAGCGUUGUCCGGAAUUACUGGGCGUAAAGAGCUCGUAGGUGGUUUGUCGCGUUGUUCGUGAAAACUCACAGCUUAACUGUGGGCGUGCGGGCGAUACGGGCAGACUGGAGUACUGCAGGGGAGACUGGAAUUCCUGGUGUAGCGGUGGAAUGCGCAGAUAUCAGGAGGAACACCGGUGGCGAAGGCGGGUCUCUGGGCAGUAACUGACGCUGGAGGAGCGAAAGCCGUGGGGGAGCGAACAGG
rnacentral:rRNA from 1 species